rnacentral:rRNA from 1 species
CCAGACUCCUACGGGAGGCAGCAGUGAGGAAUAUUGGUCAAUGGCCGAGAGGCUGAACCAGCCAAGUCGCGUGAGGGAUGACGGCCCUACGGGUUGUAAACCUCUUUUGUCGGGGAGCAAAGAGAGUCACGUGUGACUCAUUGAGAGUACCCGAAGAAAAAGUAUCGGCUAACUCCGUGCCAGCAGCCGCGGUAAUACGGAGGAUGCGAGCGUUAUCCGGAUUUAUUGGGUUUAAAGGGUGCGCAGGCGGAAUGUCAAGUCAGCGGUAAAAUUUCGGGGCUCAACCCCGUCGUGCCGUUGAAACUGGCGUUCUUGAGUGAGCGAGGAGUAUGCGGAAUGCGUGGUGUAGCGGUGAAAUGCAUAGAUAUCACGCAGAACUCCGAUUGCGAAGGCAGCAUACCGGCGCCCAACUGACGCUCAUGCACGAAAGCGUGGGUAUCGAACAGGAUUAGAUACCCCAGUA